rnacentral:lncRNA from 1 species
AUAUGAGACAUGGAGUCAAAGGAGAUUAUUUUGGAGCUUUAAGAUUUAAUGACUGCCCUGCUGGGUUUUGGACUUGCAUGGGGCCUGUAGUCUCUUUGUUUUGGCUGAUUUCUCCAUUUUGGAAUGGUCAUAUUUAGCCAGUGCCUGUAUCCCCACUAUAUCUUGGAAGUAACUAACUGGUUUUGAUUUUAUGGGCUCAUGGGUGGAAGAGGCAUACCUUAUCUCAGAUGAUACAUUUCAGUUAAUGCUGAGAUGAGUUAAGACUUUGGGGGACUGUUGGGAAGGGAUAAUUGUAUUUUGAAAUGUGAGAAGGACAUGAAAUUUGGGAGGUCCCAGGGGUGAAAUAAUAUGUUUUGGGUAUGUGUCCUCAGCCAAAUCUCUUGUCGAAUUGUAACCCCCAGUGUUGGAGGAGGGGCCUUGUGGGAGGUGAUUGGAUCAUGGGGGCAGACUUUUCCCUUGCUGCUCUUGUGAUAGUGAAUGAGUUCUCAUGAAGUCUGGUUGUUUAAAAUGUGUAGCACUUCCCCCUUCACUCUAGUCCCCCUUCUCUGGCCAUGUAAGAUGUGCCUGCUUUUCCUUGGCCUUCUGCCAUGAUUGUAAGUUUCCUGAGGCCUCCCAAGCCAUGCUUCCUGUACAGCCUAUGGAACUGUGAGUCAAAUAAACCUUUUUUUUUUUUUUAAUAAAUUACCCACUCUCCAGUAGUGCUGUAUAGCAAUGUGACAAUGAAAAUAGGCUAAAAGAGUUGUUGUAAAUUAAAUGUUUUACGAAUUUUUAAUUUUAUUCUCUUUAAUC